rnacentral:rRNA from 1 species
UGAGUAACCUGCCCUGGACUUUGGGAUAACCCUCGGAAACGGGGGCUAAUACCGGAUAUGACAUGCUCUCGCAUGGGGGUGUGUGGAAAGUUUUUCGGUCUGGGAUGGGCUCGCGGCCUAUCAGCUUGUUGGUGGGGUGAUAGCCUACCAAGGCGACGACGGGUAGCCGGCCUGAGAGGGCGACCGGCCACACGUGGGACUGAGACACGGCCCAGACUCCGUACGGGAGGCA